rnacentral:lncRNA from 1 species
CUUGAUUUAGCUAACCCAUGUACUAAUUUGUGAAACUGUUAAAGUUUUAGAAAGUUUCCGUGGUUGAUAAUUGAAUGAUUUUGGUGUUAAAUUGUUAAAAAUUAAGCUUAGUAUAUGAAAAUGACUAAAUUGUAAAGCUAAAUUCUUAGUUUCGUACAUUAGGGACCAAAUUGAAUAGAAUGAAAAACAAAAUCAUGAAUUAUUGGUGGGGAUACAAAAU